GUGCUGGUGAAUGAAGGGCAGCUGAGCAGUGAGGCUCUGCUAUAAAAGGGACCUGCUGGGUUAGGAGCCUCCAAAAGGUCAUAUGGGAGCUGGGAUUGUGAAUGUGUAGGCUGCUGCUAUGAUGCACUAGGGGAACAAUAGGCUUACAGCAAGGCUCUGAGUGCAUAUCUAGAGAUUUAACCUCAGGUCUUUGAUUGUGGUUAAAGCUUUGAUUGUUGAAAGCUAGUGAGACAGCUGCUAGAGAGAAGAGGAAGUAGAUGUAUUUGGAAACUGCUUUUUAUGAUUGUUACCAUUUUCCAGCUGUUUGCUGCUCUGGAGGGAGUGAAGGAGAAGAUCUAAGGCAAAGAAGAUUAGGAACCAGAAGCAAUUCUGAAAGUCUACAGCCUGAGUGCUGAAUCUGCAUAGUUUCCCUGGACAUCAGCAGCAGCCUUGAGGCAUCACCUGUGGAGACACCUGAAACAAGCACAUGCUUUAGAAAAAUAGCAGAUUGCAAACAGGAGUGUGCCUAAUGGUGGGGUUGGGUCUGCCAGUCUGCAGUCCUCAGCCAUACACUGAAGCAUGUAGAGGUGUGUGGGUGAUGGAGCAGCAUGGUUAGCUGCCUCUCACAUGGGACCCUCUUCCUUUGACUGCUGUGAGCAGUAGCAAAGAUGUCACAUGGCUUUCCACGAACUGUUCCAUGGCAGGUGGCUUGUUUGGCCAAAGAAGCUGUCCUGCACUGACAGCAUCUGCAGGACGCACCACUAAGGUUUAUGAGUGAUACACCAUCUUUAAUGUUUCUUCCAAACAGAUGUUAUAAUUCCCUUUUUUGUUGUUAGGGGAAGAAACAGAUUAUGGCCACUAUUCUCUAUACUAUCUUCUAUUAGCUGUUGUUAUUAAUAGGAUCAAGCUGUUAUUAGAAAUAGCGGGUAACUAUUCCCAGAAGGCAUUCACUUCAUGACUUGUGUACUCACUCACAUUCACUGUUGUUGCCCAGCUGGAGCUGGGAGGCCAACCCCAGCGUGUUUGCUCAGAAGCAGGAGGUCAUCCUGAUGCACCAGUGGGUUCUAGGCAGGUGUUUAGAAAUCCCUUCAGAGGGCGCUUUGUUUCACCAGGUGCAUACAUGACUCCAUAGUCUUCACUUGCAUGCAGCAGCCAGUGCCCUCGUGGGUGUGAUCUGAGUUAUACAACCUGCUGAAGAUGCUGAUGUUUGCUGGCAGCCUUGUUCAACAUCAGGCUCUGGAGUCUAUCAGUUCUUUGAUAUCCAUAGACUUCCAUCUCAUGUCGGCAUUCCUGUUAUCAAGACACUCCCUCUGAAGCUAUGGAGUUGCAGAGCUGUUUGCAGGUGGUCCAGCUGACUCUUAUAUGAGGCAAUGACCUUCUCUGCACUGUAACAUACUGGUGCUGGACCUGGCUGUAUGUGAAUUCCUCGCAGACGAGAGUUAGGAGGAGCACUGACUACGUGGUACCCAGCAGCUAGCAAAUUGCAUACCUGCUCUACGUGGGAACCCAGCAGAGCGGGAUGGCCCAGGGCCUCAGCAGAGAGCUUCCUGGGAUCUCGGCCAUAUGGCACACUGCACUGGUUACUCGUGAAGAGGUUCACUUGAGGCUUUCCUAUACAUGUGGUUAACAAGACAGUCUACUUCUUCAGCAGGUUUCAAUUAGUGUGGCUGCUCUGUGGGCGGCACUGGCUCAGUCUGGCAGCUUUGCCAAUGGUCUCAGUUGGCUUCUCUUACUUUUGCUUGCAUGACUCUGGGUCUUCUGCUGCUGAUAGAAGAAACGCCUUUUCUGACUGCACUGCAAGGGGCUCUGGAGACACCUGAGCUGUAGGUAGCGUACAGCUGGCACAUCUGAAUGUAAUGCCAGUCAGCAAGCUGGGAGAAAGGACUGCUAUCAUCUUGGGUGUCCUCAGGGGAGGAAAGGGUGAGUGCUCUGAAACUCUUCCUAUUCCAGCUGUGUCUUUUCCCCUCCACGGAGCCUGAGCCUCCAGGAGGCUCCUGCCCUGAGCAAAGUGGCUGGGGAUGAGGGUAAAGGGCUGCUGUAAUGGGGAAGUCCAAGGGCUACCAUAGAACCUUCUGCCCCCCCCUCCCCCCAAGAGCCAUGUCCUGCUGCAGCGGGACUUGAGCAGCCAUGAGGAGAGGAGGAACUGAAGGUCUGAUCUGGGUGCUCUGACUCACUACUCAGCUGAGCAGGAAGCAUGAGGGGACUCAACUGGUGUGAUCAGGAAAACAGCAGGAGCUGGCUUUUUGAGAAGGAACUGGAACAGAGAAACCUUUGUGCUUCCUGCAGGCAUGUGGUAGGGAGAAGGGACGGUUUUAGACCUGUUUUAUUGUGGUGAAAAUUGAGAGGGUCGUGCCGCCAUGCUUGGCGCUAGCUGUGUAGGUAGCUGUCGUGGUGGUGGAGGGGAGGUCAGUGUGUGGAGUGACACUUGUUGCUCUUUGUCACACUGCUGGCAUUCUGUGAUAGGUUCCAAAAGCAUUCGGAAAUCCCAAACAGAGUCAGAAAUUAAAAACGGGUGGUGGUUUGUGGUUCAUAUGACAGAAGGCAUAAACCAGCAGGGAAGUGUGUACAGGUGACAUUGAGCCACUGGCUGUAGUUUUAAAUGCUGAAAUAAGCGAUGCUGAUUGUUUCACGAAGCCAAGUUCCUCAUCCAGCUAUUACAGAGCUGACAUUUGGGAAAUCAGAUGCACGUGUAGCCCUUACGGACAGACUCUGCUUUGCAUGAGCUUUGCUGAGAUUUGCACCGCCAGGCAUCUCACUUCUGUUUGUCACUGUGAUUGCCUUCUUGGCAAUGCAUCGUGCCAUUUACUGCCCCUCAUGUCCUUAACUGGAAUUAGCUGCCACCCCCUCUCCCAAUGGCUCAAUCACAGCUCUCCAGCAGCUCAGCUCCUUGUUUCCCUCUGCUGCCAGCCUACUCUGCAAUCACCUUUGCAGUAAGAACGGUUUUGCAUUGGUGUCCCUGUCUCCCUCCCAAAGAGCUGCCUAGCCCUGUCCCCUCAGCCAUGGAAAAACUAUUUUCAAACACAAGAGCAAAGAGGAAGACUUUCAGCAGCUGUAAAGCUCUACUUUUCCUGGGAGGUGCUCUGUCAUUGCCAGCUGCCAGGGAUGUCAGUGAUUUUUGCUGAUGAUGGGAGAAUUGCAUUUGAACUAAAGAGGCAAAGGGAUUAUCUUUAAGCUAACACACUGAAUGAGUACUGCCCUCAUUUUUGCUGCACUGAGGCCCCUCAUGAUCACAAACAGCUCCUUUCCCCUCUGUAGCACUUGUACAGAGGGGAACUGACCGCAUUUAACAGGCCAACGUAGUCUGAAGUGAGGUUUGCAUGAGAGCUACAAUGCCUAAUCCCAGCCUGGCAAAUAUAUACUGUUUGAUGUGCUUUGGGCAGUCUUUUGCAGGUGAGCAUUGCAAUGAACAGCGAGAGCAUCUGUAAGUAUGUGUGCUACUGCCCUUUGUGUUGAGAUGGUGCCACGAGGCCAGGCAGCUGACCUGCCUCCCACAGACCAGAGAGUGCUGACACCACACAUGGUGUCCUGGCAAACAUUUGGGUUAGAAAUGUCUGUAUUAGCUGGCCAUGUGGAAGGGAGAUGUAUUGCUGCUGUGCAACUGAGGGCAAAGAGACAGCCCCCAGCACUCAUGCAGCUCAGGAUCUGCCUGCAGCACAGCUCAGCACUGUGCUGUCAGGGGGCAGAGCUGAAGGCCCUGUCAGCCUCACGGCAACACAGGCAGCUCAACCCCAAGUGGAGCAGGUGGGACAGAAGGUCCCCACCGCAGCCAUCGAUGUGCCCAACCAAACCCUACUUCCCUGUGCCAGACACUCAAUGUCAAAUCUCUCUUCGAGAGACCGCAGCAGAAAAUCUGAGAAGCAGGAAAGCAUCAUCUGUGCCAGCUGCAGGAGGAUUAGGAGACCUGCCCAGUGUGUGAGUGAAGCCAAUAGCAGAGUGAGAAGCAAAUGCAUGAUGAGUGACUCAGGCUCCAGGCUGGCCCAGCCCAAGGGGUGUGAACCUGCAUCACCUCUUGAGCAGCUCCAUCCCACCCAGGGACCUCUUGCCAUCGUCCCAUCAGGACUGAUGUGCUGCCAGAAACCAGAAAUAGUAUCCUGAAGAAGAAAAAAAAGUGUGUGUGGGGGGAGGGGGACGUUUGUGCUGUAUCAAUGUGUUCUGGUUUGGGUUUUUCAAAACAAAAUGCUUCUGGCCUUUGCUUGGAAAAGGAUUUUCAGCUUUAUUUGUGUGCAAAAGCGCUGAUUAUGUGUUACAAUGGAAGGAGUCAAAAUCAAAAGGAAAGGAAAUAGAACGCUGAAAGAGACAACGGCCUGGAGAAAAACCAACCCCAGACAGCUGGGAAAUCCCAGCUCUUUGUCUGCAGAUAGAUCUGAAAAGACCAAGGGGUUUUUCCUUUGAUUCUCAGGUUUGCCCUGAAUCCAAAUGAAAGCUAAUACUGGUAUAGCUGACUUCUGCGAAGAGAAAACAUCCAUUUUUGAUUCUCUUUCCAUAUUUCCCCCCCCCCCCCCAUGCUCUGCCUGCACAUGAUGCAGCCAAACAGGAAUUGGAGAGAGACGAAGAAAAUUUUCAUAAACACAGAAAAUAAAUUGCACACAAACAUCAAACCAAAGCUGGUGCAUUGUUAGCAGUGCUUUUCCAGAGCCUUGAUAUUUCCUGAGGACUCUCAUGGGUCUGCGGUCUCUUCCACCACAUCAAUCCCAGUACGUUGUAUGCUCAUUAGCCCGAAGAGCAUGCUCAUAUUUAUGGGGUUGGGAGUGGCACGAUGAGCUCCGUUCCCAAAGGUGGAAUAUUCACUGUGUGCUGCCAGACAUCAUGGUAAUUUGGGGUGUGUGGGGGCUGGAGGGCACAGCCCCAUACUUCGCAGCCUGCUGUGGAGCUCCUUGCUGCAAGUCUCAGCCCUCCCAGCAUGGCACGUGCUGAUGCAGGCUGCCUGUUGGCAACGUUUGCCAGAAGUUUAUCAUCUCCUGUGUUUAAAAAAAAAAAAAAAAAAACUCCCAUCAGUCAAGCUCAGCUCUUCCAUUUUCCAGUAAUUCUCAGGGCAUUCUGAACCUCCUCAGCUCCUAAACAAGGAUGGUAUGAGCCACAGCCAUAGCUGCUGCUCUGAAUGCAGCUGAUGUUGCUCACUGUCUUCUGGGAGUCACUGCUGGAGGAGGCUGAGGGCUCCCACCACCGACGCCCAGGAGUGGGGCCCAUUGCACCAGCCUCAUCCAACCCAGUGGAGGUAUCCAGGAAUGAAAGGCACAGAGGCACCACUCGGAGGUGAUUCACCCUUUUCCAAACCCGGUAUCUCAGGCUGCUGCUGUGAGUCACCCUGGGAACCGCCUCCCUGUCUCUCUCAGCUAUAAAAGAUACUUAUUUAACCUGCACGGAUCUCAUGCAUCACUUUAAAAUUGCUGAAGUGGGUUGAAGCCUGCCCCCGCCACCUUUGCCAAGUGACAAGAGAUGCUUCAGCCCUCGCUUGGGUUGGAGGAAUUUUGGCUGGAGGGGAAUUCAGGGCAGGUGAGCGCAGCAUGGCCUGACGUCCUCACCUGCUGGAGGUGGGAGGAUCACAGCUGUAAUGUCCCAGGACAUUAACACUACUUUCCAAUGAUGCACUUCCUGGUGGUCACCCAGGAGCAGCGCAUCUCAGCAUCAUUUCUCUGGGAUUCGGGGUCAGGCUGAGUCUAUUUCAGGUGGUCAAACGGCAGCCGAACAGCUGCUAAUCUAGAUCACUGCUGCUUAAUCCAGCAGCUCGAAAAGACGGA
rnacentral:lncRNA from 1 species